rnacentral:tRNA from 1 species
CUGGGUGUAGCGCAGCAGGAAGCGCGUCGGCUUUGGGAGCCGAAGGCCGCGGGUUCGAGCCCCGCCACCCGGA